rnacentral:misc_RNA from 1 species
ACAUAGCUCUAUGGUAGUCUUAGUCUUAGUCUAAGACUAAGCUUAAGACUUUUCUUUUUACAAAGGCAUUCGUAUAAGGUUUUACUAUUAUCUAUUUUAAAUGUAGGUCUUGUUUUUGUAAUUUUAAGUUUCAUUGCUUUGACAGUGUUUUCUAAAAUAUCUAGUGGUUUUUUUACAUUUAAGAUUAAUGUUUAAUUCGAAUUCGUAUUUUUAAUAUUUUAGAUACUGUUCAAAUUUUGUAAUGCGCAUUUGAACAUGUAUUUUAUGGUAUAUGCGCAUAAUAAAUGCAAUUUUUAUUAUUAUUAUUUAUUAUGGUACCGGUACUUUAAUUAACCCUAACCGCCCCUGGUAAAGCUAACUGUGUUUUUUGGUAUUUGACCCUCAAAGAGUCCUUUGUUAGGGUUAAGCAGUGAAGCAUAACACUGUAUGCCCUAACCAUGACCACAAACACUGACCUGCCUGGUUGUCCAAAUGCUGCCAACCUGUUGACCACAUAUUAUUACAUGUACAGGAUAGCCAGUUUGUUUCAGUAUCAUGGCCAGUAUUCAUGAGCAGCCCCGUGUUAUACUGUGGUCAGUCCCUCGUUCCUGCACCACGGCAGUCCUGCGCUCCAUCAGCAAUCUAGUAGAACGUGGCGAGAUUUACUAUGAGCCCUAUUACAAGGCCCUCGUUGGGGGACCAGAGAGUGAAUCUGCGUCCACCCCAGCCCCAAGAGCCACGGCCAUUCUGCCUAGUGCAGGCUCUGCAUACGACUCCUCUAUCUUCACAUACGCCUGGGUGAAGAAGACACUGGAGGCAGAACACAAGGAUGCCAGCUUGGUAUUCGUCAAAGACUUUGCCAUGAGCCUUGCAGGGAAGGUGUAUAUGGAUCACCUGCCUCAUGGGUACCGCCACACUUUCCUAAUCAGGAAUCCAAACAAGGUCAUACCCUCCUGGAGAAAAUGCCAUGAUGAGUGGAGACCAAGCAAACCACUUCUUGAUGAGGAGGCAAAGGAGGAGUGGCACAAAGCCGACAUGGGGGAGCACGCGGGUUUCAAGGACCUCCUGGAACUCUACCAGUACGUCAGAGAAAACCUGGAUCCGGCGCCGUUUGUCAUGGAUGCCGACGAUUUAGUCUCCCAGCCCGAGACUGUGAUGGCUGCCUACUGCAAGGCCACUGGAAUUCCCUUCAGCAGGAAGCUGAUCGAAUGGGAGAAUGACGGCUCACCGAUGUACGCCAAAUGGAUCACUUGUCGGGACCACUUAGGGUACUUGAACUGUAAUUACCACACCAACGCCAGGAGCAGUAGCGGCUUCAGGAAGAACGAAGACCUGCCCAAACCAGCUUCGACAUCCGUGACCAAUCCUAAGGCCAUUGAACAAAUCGCUAAGUGUGUGCCUUACUACGAAAAACUCUAUCGUGAACGCUUUGUCCCGUAAAUGUGGCAGGGCCAAGAUUUAGUUGUGAAGUUUUGUCUGAUAACGAUGUAGUUAAUGUCCAAUAAGGGGUUUUUUUUUAGGAUAAGACAAAUGGAUAAAUUCACUCUGUGUUCAGGAAAAUUUGAGUUCACCGUUCAGGUCAGGUCAGGACAAGGUUAAGAAUUAAGCUUUACUGCUCUGCGGCAACUUAACUCCGAAGGUUACAAAUUUAAGAUUUAUAGCUUGAACUCAGAGGGUAUAAGGACAAUUAAUAUUUACUGUUCUACAAAUGGAUGUCAACCUUGAACUCAUGACCUUCCUACUGGUCACGUUCAGGGUGCAGAGUAUUGUAUUAUUGUAUACUGCAUUGGUGUAUUUAGUAGCUCCCCUCGGGAAAAAGAAAUCAUUUUAAGUGUCAGUUUAGAACCCCCCCCCCUUUCCCCUAUAUAAUCUGCCACAUAGUUAAGCUUUAUUUAGUACAGCCAGCAGACCAGCAGAGACAAGUUCACAUUUAUAUGUUCCUCCUACCUGGAGAGUGUUUUCCUGCUUGGGAUUGUCUGCUUGUCAAGUCAUUGAUUUUCGUCAAAGUGUACUCUAAUAAGAUCCAUUAAUUCACACUGUGUUGGUUUUAGGUUUUAGUUUUAGUCUUGCUUUUAGUUACAUGUAUUUUAGGUUUUUGUAAAGUUCAGUCUUUAAGUUGGCUAUCGGUCUUUGGUCUAUCGUUCUGUUCUUUUAGUUUUAUUUCAGUUCUUAGUAAAUAAAUGUGGUUUUUUUCUUUUGGUUUGAAAUCUA